rnacentral:misc_RNA from 1 species
CCUUUUCCUCUCUAGUGCAAUGGCGUCGGGGACUUUGUAUACUUUUCCCGAUAACUUCAGGGCAUUUAAGGCCCUUAUUGCUGCUCAGUACAGUGGAGCAGACGUGAAAAUCUCGCCGGGUUUUAAAUUUGGGGAGACCAACAAGUCGAAAAGCUUUCUUGAGAAAUUUCCUCUCGGAAAGGUUCCAGCAUUUGAAUCAGCAUCUGGAGAUUGUCUGUUUGAGAGUAAUGCCAUUGCACAGUAUGUUUCCAAUGCCCAGCUAAUGGGUGCCAAUUCUAGAGAUGCUGCAUUUGUGCAACAGUGGAUUAAUUUUGCAGAUAAUGAAGUUUUGCCAGCAUCUUGUACAUGGGUUUUUCCAUGUCUGGGAAUUAUGCAAUUCAACAAACAGGAAACAGAGAAAGCUAAAGAACAGGUGAAGAAAGCCCUUGGAGUAUUGAAUGGACACUUAUCUAAGCGCACUUUCCUUGUUGGUGAAAGGAUUUCACAAGCUGACAUAUCAGUUGCUUGCAACUUGCUUCUCCUUUACAAGCAUGUUUUAGAUCCAUCAUUUCGGGCACCAUAUAUUCAUACCAAUAGAUGGUUUACAACCCUUGUCAACCAACCCCAGUUUUCUGCAGUUAUUGGACCUCUCAAGAUGUGCAGCAAAAUGGCUGAAUUUGAUUCAAAAAAGUUUGCAGAACUUCAUGGCCAGACGGCAGAUAGACUAUGAAAGCUACAGUUGGAAAAAACUGGACCCAAAUACUGAGGAAACUAAAAAUCUUGUGAAAGAGUACUUUGCUUGGGAAGGGAAUUUUAAUGGAAAAAAAUUCAACCAAGGCAAAAUUUUUAAGUAAAGACUCUUUGGUGUAAUAAAGUUGUGAAGAGAU